UGCGUAGGCGGAUCAAUAAGUCAGUGGUGAAAUCUCUCGGCUCAACCGGGAAACUGCCAUUGAUACUGUUGAUCUUGAGUUCGGUUGAGGUAGGCGGAAUGUGUAAUGUAGCGGUGAAAUGCUUAGAUAUUACACUGAACACCAAUUGCGUAGGCAGCUUACUAGACCGACACUGACGCUGAGGCACGAAAGCGUGGGGAGCGAACAGGAUUAGAUACCCUGGUAGUCC
rnacentral:rRNA from 1 species